GCCUUCAUGGUGUAGUGGUCAGCACGCUCGACGCGUAACCGAGAGGUCCGUGGUUCGACUCCCGGCGAAGGCG
rnacentral:tRNA from 1 species